AGUGAACGCUGGCGGUAGGCCUAACACAUGCAAGUCGAACGGCAGCACAGUAAGAGCUUGCUCUUACGGGUGGCGAGUGGCGGACGGGUGAGGAAUACAUCGGAAUCUACUUUUUCGUGGGGGAUAACGUAGGGAAACUUACGCUAAUACCGCAUACGACCUACGGGUGAAAGCAGGGGAUCUUCGGACCUUGCGCGAUUGAAUGAGCCGAUGUCGGAUUAGCUAGUUGGCGGGGUAAAGGCCCACCAAGGCGACGAUCCGUAGCUGGUCUGAGAGGAUGAUCAGCCACACUGGAACUGAGAAACGGUCCAGACUCCUACGGGGGGCAGCAGUGGGGAAUAUUGGACAAUGGGCGCAAGCCUGAUCCAGCCAUACCGCGUGGGUGAAGAAGGCCUUCGGGUUGUAAAGCCUUUUGUUGGGAAAGAAAAGCAGCAGGUUAAUACCCCGCUGUUCUGACGGUACCCAAAGAAUAAGCACCGGCUAACUUCGUG
rnacentral:rRNA from 1 species